UCCUCCGUGGCGCAAUUGGCUAGCGCGUCUGACUGUUACGCUUUCCCUUAGGAUUGCAGCAAUCAGGAGGUUGACAGUUCAAGCCUGUCCGGGGGAG
rnacentral:tRNA from 1 species